rnacentral:rRNA from 1 species
CAUUAACCGAGAUGCGGGCCCCCGCGCGGGGCCCGUCCCUCCCACCCUGUGCGUACCGUAUGGCCCGCGCCCGGUGAGCUCGCCCCCGGCGCCCUCGACGCGUCGGGGGAGACACGACACCCGCGGCCUCCGAUCCCCUCCCGGGGGGACGGCUCGCUCCACAACCCUCCGCAGCAGUGACGUCUGAGUUUUAGGGUUACAAAAACACACACAAGCAAAAAACUUUCAACAACGGAUCUCUUGGUUCUGGCAUCGAUGAAGAACGCAGCGAAAUGCGAUAAGUAAUGUGAAUUGCAGAAUUUAGUGAAUCAUCGAAUCUUUGAACGCACAUUGCGCCCUCUGGUACUCCGGGGGGCAUGCCUGUUCGAGCGUCAUUGGACCCCCUUCAAGCUCCGCUUGGCCUUGAGCCCGUGCCCGCGGAGGGCAGGCUUCAAAAUCAGCGGCGGUGCGGCCGCGCUUCAAGCGUAGUUCACGUUCGGUUCGCUUUGGAAGCGCCGGCGGCGCGUGCCUCCCCUGCGGCCCCGGUGGCGGGCGCCCACCCCUUCCCGGAGACGGGGAGCGGUCGGCUUGCCCUCGCUCGGGUCGUCUUUCGUCGCACGGUUGACCUCGGAUCAGGUAGGGAUACCCGCUGAACUUAAGCAUACUAAACCGGGGAAGA